rnacentral:lncRNA from 1 species
GUGGCAGCUUGUUCCCUCCAUUGUGAACUCAUUGUUGGUUGGUUGGUGUUGGUUUACAUCUUGAAAUCAGUAAAUAAUCCUUGGGCUGAAACUUAUGAUCUUUGAGAAAUGAAUUUCAAAAACCAGAUGAGUUUUGCUGGGUGUUUCAAGAUGGCCAAACAGGAACAGCUCCAGUCUACAGCUCCCAGCGUGAUCAAUGCAGAAGAAAGAUUAUCCUCGAUACUUGGAUAAUGUCCAUAUAUGGUGCUGAUUUUGGCCAUGUAACUUUAUUUUAUGUUAUGG